rnacentral:rRNA from 1 species
GUCGAACGAUGACGGAGGAGCUUGCUCCUCCUGAUUAGUGGCGAACGGGUGAGUAAUACGUGAGCAAUGUGCCCUUGACUCUGGGAUAAGCGCUGGAAACGGCGUCUAAUACCGGAUACGACGAUCGGAGGCAUCUCCUGGUCGUGGAAAGAACUUCGGUCAAGGAUCAGCUCACGGCCUAUCAGUUAGUUGGUGAGGUAAUGGCUCACCAAGACGACGACGGGUAGCCGGCCUGAGAGGGUGACCGGCCACACUGGGACUGAGACACGGCCCAGACUCCUACGGGAGGCAGCAGUGGGGAAUAUUGCACAAUGGGCGCAAGCCUGAUGCAGCAACGCCGCGUGAGGGACGAAGGCCUUCGGGUUGUAAACCUCUUUUAGCAGGGAAGAAGCGAAAGUGACGGUACCUGCAGAAAAAGCACCGGCUAACUACGUGCCAGCAGCCGCGGUAAUACGUAGGGUGCAAGCGUUGUCCGGAAUUAUUGGGCGUAAAGAGCUCGUAGGCGGUUUGUCACGUCUGCUGUGAAAACCCGAGGCUCAACCUCGGGCUUGCAGUGGGUACGGGCAGACUAGAGUGC